ACGUAGGGGGCUAGCGUUGUCCGGAAUCAUUGGGCGUAAAGCGCGUGUAGGCGGUCAGCACAAGUCAGUUGUGAAAUCUCCGAGCUUAACUCGGAAAGGUCAACUGAUACUGUGCGGCUAGAGUGCGGAAGGGGCAACUGGAAUUCUCGGUGUAGCGGUGAAAUGCGUAGAUAUCGAGAGGAACACCUGCGGCGAAGGCGGGUUGCUGGGCUGACACUGACGCUGAGGCGCGAAAGCGUGGGGAGCAAACAGGA
rnacentral:rRNA from 1 species